rnacentral:snRNA from 1 species
UUUUUUACCCGGCAGGGGUAAAUUCCGUGGUCACUGAAGUGGCUCACCUUUAAGGUGAGGUUCAUACAUUGCGCCCCAGAUGUGCUGUUCUCUGUUAUUUGUCCUAAUGUGUGAAGCUCGGCUGCAUAACUUGCAGUGAUGCAGCA